rnacentral:sRNA from 1 species
AUAUCUUUCUGUACGGGAAGGAUGAGAAGCUUCGACUAAGGUUCGAUUCGAGCGCAGCGAGAAAGCGUUGCCGCAGGCAACGACCCGAAGGGCGAAGCGCGCAGCGCUGAGUCAUCC